rnacentral:misc_RNA from 1 species
UCCCGGUUAACCCGGGCAGUCUCACUAGAGUUCCCACCAUUACGUGUUGGCAACUAGUGAUAAGGGUUGCGCUCGUUGCGGGACUUAACCCAACACCUCACGGCACGAGCUGACGACAGCCAUGCAGCACCUGUGCAAAGGCUCCGAAGAGCUAUUACGUUUCUGUAAUAUUCCUUUGCAUGUCAAGCCUGGGUAAGGUUCUUCGCGUUGCAUCGAAUUAAACCACAUGCUCCACUGCUUGUGCGGGUCCCCGUCAAUUCUUUUGAGUUUCAGCCUUGCGACUGUACUCCCCAGGCGGUAUACUUAACGCGUUAGCUCCGGCACAGUCAGGGUUGAGUCCGACUACACCAAGUAUACAUCGUUUACAGCAAGGACUAC